UACAUGUGGGCAAGCGUUGGUCGGAAUUACUGGGCAUAAAGGGUGCGUAGGCGGUUUGUUAAGUCACUGGUGAAAGUUUUCGGCCCAACCGGAAAAUUGCCUGUGAUACUGCGCGGCUCGAGACAGGUAGGGGAGAUCGGAAUUCCUGGUGUAGCGGUGAAAUGCGCAGAUAUCAGGAGGAACACCGGUGGCGAAGGCGGAUCUCUGGGCCUGUUCUGACGCUGAGGCGCGAAAGCGUGGGGAGCGAACAGG
rnacentral:rRNA from 1 species